GCGGAAGUAGUUCAGUGGUAGAAUACAACCUUGCCAAGGUUGGGGUCGCUGGUUCGAAUCCCGUCUUCCGCU
rnacentral:tRNA from 1 species